rnacentral:rRNA from 1 species
CCUACGGGUGGCAGCAGUGAGGAAUAUUGGUCAAUGGACGAGAGUCUGAACCAGCCAAGUAGCGUGAAGGAUGACUGCCCUAUGGGUUUUAAACUUCUUUUAUAUGGGAAUAAAAUGUUCCACGUGUGGCAUUUUGUAUGUACCUUAUGAAUAAGGAUCGGCUAACUCCGUGCCAGCAGCCGCGGUAAUACGGAGGAUCCGAGCGUUAUCCGGAUUUAUUGGGUUUAAAGGGAGCGUAGGUGGAUUGUUAAGUCAGUUGUGAAAGUUUGCGGCUCAACCGUAAAAUUGCAGUUGAAACUGGCAGUCUUGAGUACAGUAGAGGUGGGCGGAAUUCGUGGUGUAGCGGUGAAAUGCUUAGAUAUCACGAAGAACUCCGAUUGCGAAGGCAGCUCACUGAACUGCAACUGACACUGAGGCUCGAAAGUGUGGGUAUCAAACAGGAUUAGAUACCCUUGUAGUC